rnacentral:rRNA from 1 species
CGGUCUGGUGGCCAAAGCACGAGCAAAACACCCGAUCCCAUCCCGAACUCGGCCGUUAAGUGCCGUCGCGCCAAUGGUACUGCGUCAAAAGACGUGGGAGAGUAGGUCACCGCCAGACCUGA